rnacentral:rRNA from 1 species
UACGGGGGGAGCGACCGUUGUCCGGAAUCAUUGGGCGUAAAGCGCGCGUAGGUGGCUUCGUAAGUCCGUUGUGAAAGUCAAAGGCUCAACCUUUGAAUGCCGAUGGAUACUGCGGAGCUAGAGUACGGAAGAGGCGAGUGGAAUUCCUGGUGUAGCGGUGAAAUGCGCAGAUAUCGGGAAGAACACCCGUGGCGAAGGCGGUUCUCUGGGACGGUACUGACGCUGAGACGCGAAAGCGUGGGGAGCGAACAGG